GCUCAGUAGUUUAGUUCGCCUGCGAGUGCCGAACCGUUCGGUUGUAUUUGCGGCUGUGUUCUCGCGGUUUUUCAUCCGCGUCGUGUGGGUUGAUUAGUGGCCUCUGCUGUCUUUUUUGCCUUUGCUGGUGGCUGCAUUUUGCACCUCCCCUCUGUCAAGUUCAAGAGUCAGUGAGUGUUUUAUGUAUCUGCGAGGAACUCCCAGCCAAAAAGGGAAAACUAUUUCGAAAGAAGGAAAACCUACGCUAUUUCGGGGCUUGUUUGGUGUCAGGUGCCAGCGGAGGAAGCGAUUUGUGCAAAGCAAUUAGGUAUUGUGCAGAGUUUUUGUUGAGAAAAGUGCAGCCAAGUGGGAUAGAAAAAAGUGUAUAUAAAACCCCUCUGUGAAGUGCCGCGAUGCAAAGAAGAAAGCAAAAAUAACCAAAGGAGAAGAAGAAAAGGAUUGCAGAUUUUUGGCCGGGGUGUUUUCUCUGCUCAGCGCGUUCAGUUCGAUUAAGUCAGAGUAGCUAUAUAAAGUGAACGCCCGCGAGUGAUGCAAGAUUUGCAAAUUAGGUAGCGAUUGGUUUCGUUGACAAUAUUCAGUCAUCGGAGUUCCAGCGAUAGAACAUUAUACCUAGCGGAGAACAUCGGCAGGCUCCCUGGGGAAUCAGUUUAUUGGUCGCCCAUUGCAUCUAGUGUUUCGUAAUAAAUAGCGUUGAACAUCGCCGAACUACGCACAAUCAUCGGAUCCAGCAAAUAACCACCCAUCCAACCGGUCGUCGACGAAGCACAUACAGAAAACGCUUGGAGAAAAUAUAAAUCACCCGGCAGGCAACCAGCAAAAGUGACGGGAUCGUUUCCCAACGCAAUCCUCUGACGCCAGAAGCAAAGCAAAGCAAUUGCUGAAUGAAAAGUGAAAUUCCCAUUGGAAAUAGUGAAAUAGGUAUGAUAAAUAAGGAAAAUUGAGUGCACCACGCGCCACAAGCGACGGCUACAGUGUGCUGUGGCAUUGGUUCGUUACCAUGUGUACCUGUUGAGCGCUGUAAAGUGUAGUGGCAGCAGCAAGUGAACCAAGAAGAAAGGUGAAAAAUAAGCACGAAAGUGAAGGAAAACAGUGCGCUGCCAUUCACCACGCCUCACCCCUCACGUUGAUCCACACUUAAAGUGGGGUCGGUCAGGUGGAAUUGUGGCCGCCCUCUCGCCCUUUGGUUCGCGGUAAUUAGUGCUGCUAUUAGACAGCACCACGUGGCCUCCGGGUUUCAUAAGUUGGCUGUGUGCGAAGGGGGGGAUGCCGCCAAGUGUGUGAUGGGAGUGAUCUUUCGACGCUUCCCGUGUACGUCCCAUCCAGCGAGCUGCGUAGAACCACUGUAAUUGCUGUAUCAGCAUCACGCAACGCACCCGUAGAAAAAAACUGUAGAAGUAGCUCUGCUUAGCCUAUAAGGUAGGUGCAACUCGUGGUCGAUA